UACGAAGGGGGCGAGCGUUGUUCGGAAUUACUGGGCGUAAAGGGCGCGCAGGCGGCCCUUGAAGUCAGGCGUGAAAGCCCCGGGCUCAACCUGGGAGGUGCGCUUGAUACUCGAGGGCUUGAGUGCGGGAGAGGAGAGUGGAAUUCCCAGUGUAGAGGUGAAAUGCGUAGAUAUUGGGAAGAACACCGGUGGCGAAGGCGGCUCUCUGGACCGUAACUGACGCUGAGGCGCGAAAGCCAGGGGAGCAAACGGG
rnacentral:rRNA from 1 species